GAUGAAGAACGUAGCGAAAUGCGAUAAGUAAUGUGAAUUGCAGAAUUCAGUGAAUCAUCGAAUCUUUGAACGCAUCUUGCGCUCCUUGGUAUUCUGAGGAGCAUGCCUGUUUGAGUGUCAUUAAAUUCUCAACUACACUGACUUUGAAUUGGUGUGGCUUGGAUUUGGGGGGAAAAUUGUUGUGGGCUUUUUGUAUAGUCUGCUCCCCUGAAAUUGAUUAGCGGUACCUUUGUGGAACUGUCUACAGGUGUGAUAAUUAUCUACAUCUUAGACAUCUGCUGGAAUGCUGCUUUCUAAACCUUACUUGUAUUGACAAUCUUGACCUCAAAUCAGGUAGGAUUACCCGCUGAACUUAAGCAUAUCAAUAAGCGGAGGA
rnacentral:misc_RNA from 1 species